rnacentral:SRP_RNA from 1 species
GUAUGGACUAGGCUGGGCGGUUAGGCCCCGCUCGAAACCCGUGAGAGAGUCUUUAGCGGGGGCCGAAAUCCGGGGGCGUCCGGUCAGACCGACGCGGGCCCCGGAAGUCGACGUGGAAGCCUCGUCCGACGGGGACAGCGGUCCGCGGUGCCCGCCCGCAGGGGCGGUCCGCCGCGGUUGGUCGGCGGCAGCGGGUCAGGCGCGGAAGCGAGCAGCCCACCGUCGAACGCCCGUCGCUCGUCGGGUCGCGGGGUGGAGGAGACGACCGGGACUACCCGGGUCGGAACGCCGGGCAAUCUCGGGGCGUCCGCAU